AGUGGCGGACGGGUGAGUAACGCGUGAGAAUCUGCCUUGGGGUCGGGGACAACCACUGGAAACGGUGGCUAAUACCGGAUAAGCCGAUUGGUGAAAGAUUUAUUGCCCGAAGAGGAGCUCGCGUCUGAUUAGCUAGUUGGUGAGGUAAGAGCUCACCAAGGCAGCGAUCAGUAGCUGGUCUGAUAGGACGAUCAGCCACACUGGGACUGAGACACGGCCCAGACUCCUACGGGAGGCAGCAGUGGGGAAUUUUCCGCAAUGGGCGAAAGCCUGACGGAGCAAGACCGCGUGAGGGAGGAAGGCUCUUGGGUUGUAAACCUCUUUUCUCAGGGAAGAAGCUCUGACGGUACCUGAGGAAUCAGCCUCGGCUAACUCCGUGCCAGCAGCCGCGGUAAUACGGAGGAGGCAAGCGUUAUCCGGAAUUAUUGGGCGUAAAGCGUCCGCAGGUGGCGAUUCAAGUCUGCUGUCAAAGCACGGGGCUUAACUCCGUAAAGGCAGUGGAAACUGAAUAGCUAGAGUGCCGUAGGGGUAGAGGGAAUUCCCGGUGUAGCGGUGAAAUGCGUAGAGAUCGGGAAGAACAUCGGUGGCGAAAGCGCUCUACUGGACGGCAACUGACACUCAGGGACGAAAGCUAGGGGAGCGAAUGGGAUUAGAUACCCC
rnacentral:rRNA from 1 species